rnacentral:rRNA from 1 species
GGUUUCGAGUGAGGGCCUCUGGGUCCACCUCCCACCCGUGUUUAUUUUACCUUGUUGCUUCGGCGGGCCCGCCUUAACUGGCCGCCGGGGGGCUUACGCCCCCGGGCCCGCGCCCGCCGAAGACACCCUCGAACUCUGUCUGAAGAUUGUAGUCUGAGUGAAAAUAUAAAUUAUUUAAAACUUUCAACAACGGAUCUCUUGGUUCCGGCAUCGAUGAAGAACGCAGC